UGCAGUAUUUGGCCAGGGAUGAAAACAAUCAUCUGAUUACUUGCAUACUUACAGUGUUAUGCAGAAGUCUGAUGGAUUAAAGGAUUUUCUGAGGCCAAAACUAAUAU
rnacentral:snoRNA from 1 species